GCGAAUGUAGCUCAGUUGGUUAGAGCGUCGGACUGUGAAUCCGAAGGUCGUGGGUUCAAGACCCAUCAUUCGCCCCA
rnacentral:tRNA from 1 species